rnacentral:rRNA from 1 species
GAUGAACGCUAGCUACAGGCUUAACACAUGCAAGUCGCGGGGCAGCAUGGGGGUUGCUUGCAAUCCCCGAUGGCGACCGGCGCACGGGUGAGUAACGCGUAUCCAACCUGCCCUUCACCACGGGAUAACCCGGCGAAAGUCGGACUAAUACCGUAUGUUGUCCAUUGACGGCAUCCGAUUUGGACGAAAGGUUUGGCGGUGAAGGAUGGGGAUGCGUCCGAUUAGCUGGACGGCGGGGUGACGGCCCACCGUGGCGACGAUCGGUAGGGGUUCUGAGAGGAAGGUCCCCCACACUGGAACUGAGACACGGUCCAGACUCCUACGGGAGGCAGCAGUGAGGAAUAUUGGGCAAGGGGCGUAAGCCUGAACCAGCCAAGUAGCGUGCAGGAUGACGGCCCUAUGGGUUGUAAACUGCUUUUAUGCGGGGAUAAAGUGGCCCACGUGUGGGUUUUUGCAGGUACCGCAUGAAUAAGGACCGGCUAAUUCCGUG